rnacentral:rRNA from 1 species
AAAAAGCUCGUAGUUGGAUCUUCUGCUGAGGACGACUGGUCUGCCCUCUGGGUGAGUAUCUGGUUCGGCCGAAGCAUCUUCUUGGAGGUUGCAAGCGCACUUCAUUGUGUGGUGCAACCGACUGGAAUUUUACUAUUAGAGGAAAUUAUGAGUGUUCGACAGGGAGGCGCAACGACCUCGCAUAGCGUUAGACAUGGAAUAAUGCUAGUAAGACCAUGGUAUUGCUGUGUUGGUAUUCUAUCACCUAAUGGUAAUGAUAUAACAGGGAUACGUUGGGGGCAUUCGUAUUUCAUGUGUCAGUAGGUGAAAUUCUUGGAUUAUAUGAAAGACGCAACUUCUGCGAAAGCACGUAUGCCAAGGAUGUUUUCAUAUAAUCAAGUAACGAAGAGUUGGAGGCUACGAAGACGAUCAGAUACCGUCCUAGUUCCAACCAUAAACGAUGCCGUCUGCGGAUCGGAGGUCGCUCAUGUAAGGCUCCUUCGGCACGCUAUGAGAAAUCAAAGACUUCGGGUGCCGGGGGGAGUAUGUGCACAAGAAUGAAACUUAAAGGAAUAGACGGAAGGGCACCACCAGGAGUGGA